UUUGGAAAGAAAGCUGCCCGUAUUGAUGUACGGAAAUACGCCAUUAGCCCCGCAUGUCCGUAUACACCGUCAAUCUCCCGCCGCUCGGCGUGGGAACCCCCAAAUUAUACCGCCGUCUUACCCAUCCGUGACACUUUUCUACGACGGAAACCGAUCCGCGGACAUCGAAAGCAAACUGACAAACCGAAUAAGCCCAGGACACUGGAAAAUACUUGAAAAACAUGGUAAAGUGGAUUUCAGCAUUUUCUGUCGUUACAUUUGUAUUAGAAUUGUAACAAAUGUCUUCGUUAAUACUAUAUUGUAUUUCGCAGGAUGUUCCUCAUCAGAUUGGUUCUGUGGACUGUGGUGUGUUCAUGUUGAUUGUUGUCACGUCACGAAUCGGGGAAACAAAGGAUUUAUUGGGGAAACCAGCUAGGAACACGGGACAAUAGAAGUAGCGACUUAAAUGACAUUAUUGGGGAAGCAUAUUUUGAAGCGGAGUUAAAUACAUAGGACUAAUGAAAACAACUGGAAACAGCGAAUGACAUCGGGGUUCCACACGAGGUUAACGAGGGGGCGUGGCACACGGGAGGAGCGGACAAGCGGCGCAUGACAAUUUGAGUUGGAGGGAUUUGACAAAAACAUCCUUUUAGAAAUGUGUGAGGAAGUAAGUUCUUUUCUUUUUGACAAGUAGUGUAUCUGUCAGGUUUGCGAUGCAACAGAGAAAUUAAAUAUUUUAUUUCACUCCUCAGGGUCAAGACUCUGGUCUCCAGCUCAC